AACCGUGGAAAGAACAGAAAAUAGCAGCCAUGGAUGAGCUCCAUUUGGCCAAGCUUUUAUGGCUUAUAUAGAUGAUGAAAAUUGAGACUUGGACCUAGAACGGAAAGAAAUCGAUUUAUGGACGAGUAUGUCCUUUUCACAUUUGUGGUAUCGAGAGUUUCCAGGUUAGCUCGAGUUGGAGGCCGUCAGAGAUAUUAUCACCUUAUCGAGUUAACGUUAUCGGAGUAAGUAAACUCAAGUGAUUCGAGUCUAUGGCAUGUAUAGGGUUUUAAUGUGAGUAUGUAAUAUUAUGAUUUAGCCAAAGGCAUUGGCUUGUUAUUAAGGUAGUAUUAGUCAUGUAAAUUGGCCUAUGUCGGCUAAUGACAUUAUGGGCCCAUAUGAUUAUUCUUAUGCAUGUAUGUUAUUAUCUCUUGUGAUGUGGCUUACAACAUGUAUACCUAGAGAUUGAAUUGAGAUUCAUUGAUGAGCUAGUAACUAAUGCAGGAUUAAGUGAUUGGUAAAUAGAUAAUAA